rnacentral:rRNA from 1 species
AACACGUGAGUAACCUGCCCUGGACUCUGGGAUAAGCGUUGGAAACGACGUCUAAUACCGGAUAGGACCUCGGAUCGCAUGAUCUGGGGUGGAAAGUUUUUCGGUCUGGGAUGGACUCGCGGCCUAUCAGCUUGUUGGUGAGGUAAUGGCUCACCAAGGCGUCGACGGGUAGCCGGCCUGAGAGGGUGACCGGCCACACUGGGACUGAGACACGGCCCAGACUCCUACGGGAGGCAGCAGUGGGGAAUAUUGCACAAUGGGCGCAAGCCUGAUGCAGCAACGCCGCGUGCGGGAUGACGGCCUUCGGGUUGUAAACCGCUUUUAGUAGGGAAGAAGGGCUUCGGCUUGACGGUACCUGCAGAAAAAGGACCGGCUAACUACGUGCCAGCAGCCGCGGUAAUACGUAGGGUCCGAGCGUUGUCCGGAAUUAUUGGGCGUAAAGAGC